CAAACUUCAUCUCUGGCUCAUACUUCUUCUUUGAGUUUCUAGCCCAUAUAUUCACAGGCCUAUCUGACAGUUCACCUGCUUUUCUCAAAAGCAUCUCAAACUAGUUUCUCCUGGAAAGGGCUCUGGUACCUGCAGGCCAGUUACGGUGAGGCAGAUAUGACUGACAGGAGGCCGCUAUUCUACUCACCAGACCCUCUGCUCCUCCUGGGCCGCGCCACCGGCAGACGCUGACUGCUGUCUCUGCGCAGCACCAGCUGAGAUUCGCUAGGGGGAUACAUCGACGCCGAGAUCCAGAACUGCUUAGCCAAGUUGGCAUCUUGUUCCGAGGAGCCAGCAAAUACCAGUAAUCCCGGGGGGCACAUUUCCUGGGACUCUUUUCGGCCGCUAGGUUCUUCGCUGGGUCCCGUUUCCAUGGCAACUGAGGACGCUUCUGCAAGCGUCCUCUCCCCUCCCCCCGCCCCGCCCCUGCCCCGCCCCUCCGAGAACCGCCAAGUUGGUACCAGCCCCUGCCGGCUGCCCUCGGUUUCCUAGGUAGGUGUUGGGAUCCGCCACGCGCGUGGGGGCCGUCGGAAGCCCACCCCUGCGGUGAUCAGGUUUUAGGACCAGUCCAAAUCUUGGAUAUGGGAGAGUCAAAACGUCAACUUUGGGUUGUGUCCUGUCGGAGUCAGUGGGGGAGUAGUUUAGCUUCUUAUAUCCUCAGUGGGCUGCCACAUCCUCUCCCCUCCCCCCAGAAAGAUAGCUAAAUAAACUUUAAAUUCCUCAGCCCCAUUGCCCCAAUCCCCACUUCCAAACCAGAUUGCCAGGGACAGCACCUGCUAGGUGGAAGUUCUGAGAACGUUGCGCUGGAGAAUUCACGCCUGAAAGCCUAGCCCUUGGGAGCUAGAGGCCUGAACUGGGCGGAUACGUGCCCAUGUGUACAGUUUCUGUGAUUUUAAAAUUCUGAAUCCUUUAAAUCUUAGGAAACAAGCUGGAUUUAAAGUGUAAGUGCAUUUACUAAUCACUCCCACUAAAAGUUGCAUAGACUCCAACAGUUGUAAAUGAUUACUUAAAAGAAGGGAUACAUCUUAAUGAGUGAACAGAGUCUCUUCAUGGAAAAAAGAAGUAUGAAAAAUUUUGUUAAUGUAUUUCUUAUAAAAGUAUUAACAAGUCUGUGUG
ensembl:lncRNA novel transcript